UACGUAGGGACCGAGCGUUGUCCGGAAUCAUUGGGCGUAAAGAGCGUGUAGGCGGCCACUUAAGUCCUGCGUGAAAUCUUGCGGCUCAACCGCAAGCGGUCGUGGGAAACUGGUGGCUAGAGUGCGGGAGAGGAGAGUGGAAUUCCUGGUGUAGCGGUGGAAUGCGUAGAUAUCAGGAGGAACACCGGUGGUGUAGACGGCUUACUGGACCAUAACUGACGCUGAGACACGAAAGCGUGGGUAGCAAACAGG
rnacentral:rRNA from 1 species